rnacentral:rRNA from 1 species
ACGCUGAUUUCCCUGUUUGCUGGGGUGGAUGAGUGGCGAACGGGUGAUUAACACGUGAUUAACCUUCCCUUGACUCUGGGAUAAGCCCGGGAAACUGGGUCUAAUACCGGAUACGACCUCCUGCCGCAUGGUGUGGGGGUGGAAAGAUUUAUCGGUUUUGGAUGGACUCGCGGCCUAUCAGCUUGUUGGUGAGGUAAUGGCUCACCACGGCGACGACGGGUAGCCGGCCUGAUAGGGUGACCGGCCACACUGGGACUGAGACACGGCCCAGACUCCCACGGGAGGCAGCAAUGGUGAAUAUUGCACAAUGGGCGCAAGCCUGAUGCACCGACGCCGCGUGAGGGAUGACGGCCUUCGGGUUGUUAACCUCUUUCAGUAGGGAAGAAACGAAAGUGACGGUACCUGUAGAAGAAUCGCCGGAUAACUACCUGCCAUCAGCCGCGGUAAUACCUACGGCGCUAGCGUUAUCCGGAAUUAUUGGGCGUAAAUAGCUCGUAGGCGGUUUGUCGCGUCUGCCGUGAAAGUCCGGGGCUUAACCCCGGAUCUGCGGUGGGUACGGGCAGACUAUAGUGCAGUACGGGAGACUGUAAUUCCUGGUGUAGCGUUGAAAUGCGCAGAUAUCAUGAGGAACAUCGAUGGCGAAGGCAGGUCUCUGGUCUGUUACUGAUGCUGAUGAGCGAAAGCAUGGUGAGCGAACAGGAUUAGAUACCCUGGUAGUCCAUGCCGUAAACGUUGGGCACUCGGUGUGGGGGACAUUCCACGUUUUCCGCGCCGCAGCUAAUGCAAUCAUGUGUCCUGCCUGGGGAGUACGGUCGCAAGGCUAGAACUCACACGAAUUGACGGGGGCCGCCACAAGCGCUGGAGCAUGCGGAUUAAUUCUAUGCAAUGCGAAGAAUCUUAC